CAACCCUCAAGCCUAGCUUGGUGUUGGGGCAUUACCUGACUGUUCUUUUACAGAAGGGUAAGCCCUGAAAUUUAGUGGCGAGCUCGCCAGGACUCCGAGCGUAGUAGUAAAACCCUCGCUUAGGAUCGUACUGGCGCGGCCCUGCCGUAAAACCCCCAACUUCUGAAA
rnacentral:misc_RNA from 1 species